UAUACGGGAGACCACUCUCGACAGCAAAUUCAGGUGUUCGGCAGUUUCCGUGGGUUAAACGGUGAGAGAGUCCAAACUUACCCGUCUACUUCCGUACUUGUGUUGUUUUCGUUGGAAAUGAUGAUGCGGGAGGUUUUGUCUUAAAAUGAAUAGAUCGUUCGAUUGAAAUUACAGAACAUACACUACUACUGACUGACAGGGAUAUAUUAUGUCGGCAAAGGAGCUGGUCAUGGACCUUUGCCGUCCUUUAUCCAGAGCCUUCCACAGCGAUGGCAGAUAUAUCGCUGCUUGGAUCAACACUUGACCACGCCGUUGAGUCCAGGAUCUCAGUGGCAGCCAUGACAACAUCAACAGAAUGACAUCUGCAUACAUUUUGCACCUCUUCCUUGUGCUGUCAGAUUGAAACAUCUCUACUCUGACAGAAUGAAGUGAAUGAAUCCCCAGGAUUGUUCCUCAGGAAAAUCUCUUCAACCGGCUGUUGACAGUUUGCAUGCUCUUUGGAUGGAAUUACCUUAGCUUGGCUUGCAGAGAAUCUGUUAUUUAAAAAAACUGGGCUGCUUUGUGUUAUUGAUUUAUUGACGUUAAAUGUAUUUUAUAUGUAUUUUGCCACUAUUGUAAAAAACAAUGGGCAUAUACACUAGCAUCUGUUUGCAAACAGACACAUUUUAUUUUUGUAAAUAUCUUGAAAAUACAUUUUGUAGGUUGACCUCAGACCAUGAAAGAUUAAUGGUAGGUUAUCUUUGACCAGAACAUGACCAGUAUUGUUUUUGAAGUUUGUUGGUCAAAGGUGAUGGUCAUGGCAAACAAUGGUUAUUCUGCACAAUGACUCUUAAAUUAUUUGACCUUAUACCAUUGAUAUUUAGUGAUUGAUAUAUCAGUCCAACACAUAUGUAACAGGGUCCUGCUGAAAUUCAGCAAGAGCUUAUUAGCAUUGCAAAUCAUUAUUUGUGCAUGUAACUGUAAAUACUAUUACGCUUUGUGUCAGAAAGUUGACCAUCACAAAUUAGGGUCAUUGUUGAUCUUAUCUUGUUUCAUUAUUUUGCAUGUUUUGUCUCAGAAGCAUCUUUCAUUUAAGAUUAAACAAUAGAACAGAUCUCAAUUGUGUGAAAAACUGCUGAAAAAUUUAAUUUUCUUAAAGCGUCUAUAAGUAACUUUUGUAGCCAUAAAACAUCGAUUAUCAAUUCAAGGGGGUGAACUAAAAAGGUUCUAUCUGCUUCUUUAUUUAAUGUCACUUAGAACCUUCUUGCAUUCACCCAUGUUAUUGGAAAUUUAAGAAAAAAAUAUCUGAUCUUUUGACAGCAGUCAUAUAUAUCACUGUUUUCUAGACAUCUAGCAAAAAAUACCUCAUUCCAAGACAAUUAAGAUGUCAAAUCAGUUGAUCUGGCUGUGAGAGAGCAGCUUUAAACAAAGACUAUAUGAUAUGUUAUGUUUCAGAGCCAAUGAUUUUGUAUAAUUAUAUAAAAAGUUUUGCAUUUAUAUGUUCUUAAAUCUGUGUAAUUUAUUCGACUUGCUUAUUAUGUCAAUAUUGUAAAAAGGUUAUAAAAUAGGCUAAAUAUGCACCAUGCACAUGAAUUGUUUAAAAUCACCCUGAGCCUCACUGCAAACAUUUAAAACUGUAUAAUUUUCA